rnacentral:snRNA from 1 species
GUGCUCGCUUUGACAGCACAUAUGCUAAAAUUGGAGUGACACAGAAAAGAUUAGCAUGGCCCCUGUGCAGGGAUAACACACAAAUUCAUGAAGUGUUCUACUGAAAAAAAUUUUU